AUUCAUGUCUAGCUCCGCGGGACAUUUUCCAUGAGGAAGUUCCCAAUCAAAGAAAUGAACAAGUGAAGCAAGGACUAAGGGAAUUUCUUUUGCAGCCAUGGACAUGCCCGGGCAUAUUCUCCUUCCAGCACCGAAGGGUUUCGAUAGCACGAUGUGGAAGCAGCAAUGGUGUUGGAGGAUGCAACCUGAGUGUUUCCUUCACACAGGCUUGGACAUAGGACAUCUGCAGCAAUUGAGAUUCUUUCGGUUCUGCCAUCGCCCACUCAAUUGCUGUGGUACUGGCGUCUGUAGCAGCAGUGAAUAACUCCUUCACAGGGUUAGAAGGAAACUUGUGAGUAUAUGCUAAACUUUCUUGAAUAUUAAAACUUCAAAAAGAGAAGUGCUAAAGGUUCAAUGCAUUGAUAUCAGUUGUGUAACAGCAUAUAUGCACAAAGACUAACAUGAUUACUUUGACUUUCAUUUUUCAGAUACUACCGAAAGACUAAAUUGGUUUAUACCAGAAAAUGAAUCUAAUGAAGCAAAUUUGAGAGAGAGAGAGAGAGAGAGUGAACAAACCACAAAUAGCUGGUGG